GAAAUGUGAUAAGUAAUGUGAAUUGCAGAAUUCCGUGAAUCAUCGAAUCUUUGAACGCACAUUGCGCCCUCUGGUAUUCCGGGGGGCAUGCCUGUCCGAGCGUCAUUGCGAACCCCUCAAGCACGGCUUGUGUGAUGGGCCCUCCCGCGUCUUGGUCGUCAAGACGGGCCCGAAAUGCAGUGGCGGCUUCGCGGUUAUCCGAUCAGCCAGAGCGUAUGGGGACUUUCUCUCUGUCACACGCCCGCGGCGCGGACCGACGCCUGUCGACCUUUAUUCAUCUUUUUCUCGGUUGACCUCGGAUCAGGUAGGGAUACCCGCUGAACUUAAGC
rnacentral:misc_RNA from 1 species